rfam:Cochliobolus heterostrophus C5 unplaced genomic scaffold COCHEscaffold_5, whole genome shotgun sequence.
GGGGGGAUGGCGCAGUGGUGAAGCGCCUGGAAAGCCUCUGCUGUCUCACGUCAGCAGAGCUCGAAGGUUCGAUUCCUUCUCUCCUCG